AGUGAACGCUGGCGGUAGGCCUAACACAUGCAAGUCGAACGGCAGCACAGUAAGAGCUUGCUCUUACGGGUGGCGAGUGGCGGACGGGUGAGGAAUACAUCGGAAUCUACUUUUUCGUGGGUGAUAACGUAGGGAAACUUACGCUAAUACCGCAUACGACCUACGGGUGAAAGCAGGGGAUCUUCGGACCUUGCGCGAUUGAAUGAGCCGAUGUCGGAUUAGCUAGUUGGCGGGGUAAAGGCCCACCAAGGCGACGAUCCGUAGCUGGUCUGAGAGGAUGAUCAGCCACACUGGAACUGAGACACGGUCCAGACUCCUACGGGAGGCAGCAGUGGGGAAUAUUGGACAAUGGGCGCAAGCCUGUUCCAGCCAUACCGCGUGGGUGAAGAAGGCCUUCGGGUUGUAAAGCCCUUUUGUUGGGAAAGAAAAGCAGCAGGUUAAUACCCCGCUGUUCUGACGGUACCCAAAGAAUAAGCACCGGCUAACUUCGUG
rnacentral:rRNA from 1 species